AUCUGAGUCAAGAGGGCCUUACUUACAGAAGACGCACCGGACUCAAAAUCCGAUGAUGCUUAAACCUCAUGUCGGUUCGAUUCCGACCUCCGGUA
rnacentral:tRNA from 1 species